UGCAGCUGCAAGGAGAAAGAAUAGUGGCACGGUGAGUGGUGUUACUACCGUCAGAGAAGAAGGAGCAGUUGGCAACAAGUUGACGACUUCAGUCAAAAGAAUGGAGAGCUCCGAGAUCCUGUCGUUGGUGGUGUGGCAGAGGGUUCGGGAUGCAAGCAGAGGAUAUGCCGGAGCUCCGGUGCAAUGUUUAGGAACAGCUUUCCUGACAAAGCUCAAGGUGUGAAACUUGCUGGCAAGGUGCUCUGGCUGAAGCUGCGCCUGCCAAAACGAAAUCGCAUAAGAGGUUAGUCAGAAAAAGCAACAAGCCCCGAGUGAGGCUAAUCAAGUGGCAUCCUUCGUUGAAUUGGUUAGGUUCCUCCUAUAACUGAUAGAUGCAAUUGAGAAUGAAUCAGAUUAAAGCUUCCUAAAGUACUCUUGAGAAAACACAAGAAGUUUGAAGGAGAUGGUUGUGCUUUUAAGAUAUAUCUCUUAGUUUUAAUAUUACUGUUUUUCAAUAGAUUCCAAAUUCAGAUUGUAAAUCAAUGUAGAAUAAUUAUUAUUGAUUUUAUUUUAUUACUUUGAUUUUACUUUGUAGGUUUAUGACAUUUGUGCAGACGAAAGUGAUCGGAAGUAUAAAUAGUUGUUAGAGUGCACACGUAUAAAUAGUUGGGUAAAAGACUUACUUCAAUAGUUUAUGGUGUUUAAGUGUCCAGCUAUGAUGUCUAUUCUUACAAGUUGGAAUCAAAGUUGUUAUUGAUUCUUAACUAA